CCCCCCCCCCCUAGAGACAUAGACCUGUCUACUCCCUUUACGGUACCAUACUGUGAGAAGUCUUCAUAUCUUUACUUUGGAAGUCAACGGUAAAAGUUUAUUGUCGCAUGUUAGUUGUUAGCCUGCAGGUCAAAAGAAAGACAGUGACAGUGUUUGCCUGCAGGUCAAAAGAAAGACAGUGACAGUGUUUGCCUGCAGGUCAAAAGAAAGACAGUGACAGUGUUUGCCUGCAGGUCAAAAGAAAGACAGUGACAGUGUUUGCCUGCAGGUCAAAAGAAAGACAGUGACAGUGUUUGCCUGCAGGUCAAAAGAAAGACAGUGACAGUGUUAACCUGCAGGUCAAAAGAAAAACAGUGACAGGAUAUAACCUUACUUCUUUUUCCCCUGCCUUUAGAUUACGUACACGUAAUUAUUUUGGUGUGUGAAAAACUGAAAUCAUAUUAUUAAACAUUUGCUAUAAAUUCA